UACGUAGGUGACCAGCGUUGUCCGGAUUUACUGGGCGUAAAGAGCGCGCAGGCGGUCGUUCAAGUCGAGUGUGAAAGCCCCCGGCUCAACUGGGGAGGGUCACUCGAUACUGAUCGACUUGAAGGCAGGAGAGGGAAGCGGAAUUCCCGGUGUAGUGGUGAAAUGCGUAGAUAUCGGGAGGAACACCAGUGGCGAAGGCGGCUUCCUGGCCUGUUCUUGACGCUGAGGCGCGAAAGCUAGGGGAGCAAACGGGGAUUAAGAAACCCCGGUAGUCCCAGACCGAAGUCUACAUCA
rnacentral:rRNA from 1 species